AGUAACGCGUGGGUAACCGUGCCUCAUACAGGGGGAUAACAGUUAGAAAUGACUGCUAAUACCGCAUAAGCGCACAGUGCUGCAUGGCACAGUGUGAAAAACUCCGGUGGUAUGAGAUAGACCCGCGUCUGAUUAGCUAGUUGGUGGGGUAACGGCCUACCAAGGCGACGAUCAGUAGCCGGCCUGAGAGGGUGAACGGCCACAUUGGGACUGAGACACGGCCCAA
rnacentral:rRNA from 1 species